GCGAACGCUGGCGGCAGGCCUAACACAUGCAAGUCGAACGAACCUUUCGGGGUUAGUGGCGGACGGGUGAGUAACACGUGGGAACGUGCCUUUAGGUUCGGAAUAACUCAGGUAAACUUGUGCUAAUACCGAAUGUGCCCUUCGGGGGAAAGAUUUAUCGCCUUUAGAGCGGCCCGCGUCUGAUUAGCUAGUUGGUUGAGGUAAUGGCUCACCAAGGCGACGAUCAGUAGCUGGUCUGAGAGGAUGAUCAGCCACAUUGGGACUGAGACACGGCCCAAACUCCUACGGGAGGCAGCAGUGGGGAAUCUUGCGCAAUGGGCGAAAGCCUGACGCAGCCAUGCCGCGUGAAUGAUGAAGGUCUUAGGAUUGUAAAAUUCUUUCACCGGGGACGAUAAUGACGGUACCCGGAGAAGAAGCCCCGGCUAACUUCGU
rnacentral:rRNA from 1 species